GAUUGGUCCCCUCGCAAUGAAACGCCGUGAACUCCGCCAGGCCCGGAAGGGAGCAACGGUAGCGGCACUUUUGUGUGCCGGGGUGUGGCUGGUUUGG
rnacentral:SRP_RNA from 1 species